AUUGAACGCUGGCGGCAGGCCUAACACAUGCAAGUCGAAAGAGUGGCGGACGGGUGAGUAAUGUCUGGGAAAAUGCCUGAUGGAGGGGGAUAACUACUGGACACGGUAGCUAAUACCGCAUACAAUCCUAUGUUCCUAGAUGGGCUUGGCUUGGUGGUGGGGUAACGGCUCACCAAGGCGACGAUCCCUGUCUGGUCUGAGAGGAUGACCAGCCACACUGGAAAUGAGCAACAGUCCAGACUCCUACGGGAGGCAGCAGUGGGGAAGAUUGCACAAUGGGCGCAAGCCUGAUGAAGACAUGCCGCGUGUAUGAAGAAGGCCUUCGGGUUGUAAAGUACUUUCAGCGGGGAGGCGUUACCCGCAGAAGAAGCACCGGCUAACUCCGUGCCAGCAGCCGCGGUAAUAC
rnacentral:rRNA from 1 species